CAGCAGCCGCGGUAAUACGUAGGUGGCAAGCGUUGUCCAGAAUUAUUGGGCGUAAAGGGCUCGCAGGCGGUUUCUUAAGUCUGAUGUGAAAGCCCCCGGCUCAACCGGGGAGGGUCAUUGGAAACUGGGAAACUUGAGUGCAGAAGAGGAGAGUGGAAUUCCACGUGUAGCGGUGAAAUACGUAGAGAUGUGGAGGAACACCAGUGGCGAAGGCGACUCUCUGGUCUGUAACUGACGCUGAGGCGCGAAAGCGUGGGGAGCGAACAGGAUUAGAGACCCCCGUAGUCCCUGUCUCUUAUAA
rnacentral:rRNA from 1 species